rnacentral:lncRNA from 1 species
AGUCCCCACACCUGAGAGUCAGCUCCCAGGGACUUCAUGCCCACAUCCCCCUCCCCUUGUCACACAUGUUCAAUGCCAGAGGAAUCGAUCAGGAAACAGAACAGACAGUAGGCUUUUUCCCCAAUUUCUCCACUUCGAAGAUCACUGUUUUCUGCAAAGAGACACAAGAAAGUCUGAAAGAGAACAGGAGGAAAUGCUAAUAGUGGUUACCUCUGGGGCAAGAUUCCAGGUGUUUCUUUUUUUAAUCUUCUUAAUCUUUUAUUUUCUAACUCUACAGUGGAUUAACUUCUCUUGUCUAAAAACAUUUACAAUGCCCGUGCCAUCCUCAGUAAAGGACCAGUUUUGUGAGGUCCAGGCAAGUUAUGCCCCUGUGAGCACAUUUAAGUUGUAACAUUCAGUUUUGUUCUGGAAUCUCUGACAGAGGAGGUCCAGAACUCUGUGGCCUGGGGUCCAAGGAUGCUAUGAUGACCCUGGAACCUUCCGACUAUCAAGCAGAAUCACUACAGCUUUUAAGAGGUGUUGACCUUGAGGGCAAGAUGGUUGGGGCAAUCCUGGGAAGGAGUUCAGAGUCGGCCAAUCCCCCAAAUGGACACCAGCUAUUGUCUGAGAAGCCAAGACCAGCUAGAGAAGCACAAGCUAGGCCAGUCUCUACACUGCCUCUCUCCAAACGGCAGGAGACAAGCUGCCAGACUGGGCACAGGCCCCCUACACCCACAACAGGAGGUAUUUACAAACCCAGCAGGACCUGGCGCCUGGUCAGGGAUUUCAAGGACAAGCCAGCAGCGUUUCCAGAGAGCAGCAGAGUAAUUAAGCUCACAUGUCCAGACGAGAAGCCUGGCAGGCCCGGGCUGCAGAGCCACAGGCGUGCUCCUGGCUGCCUGUGUGUGUUCACCACCAAGAGUCUGGCCACAGAAAUGGGAGCAACAUGCAGGUCGAUUAUCUUCCUGAGGUUGACAUGAAUGAGGAAUAUCUUUUUUUUUUUGAAGAUUUAUUUAUUUAUUUAUGAGAGAGAGAGAGAGAGGCAGAGACACAGACAGAGGGAGAAGCAGGCUCCAUGCAGGGAGCCCGACGUGGGACUCGAUCCCGGGUCUCCAGGAUCACGCCCUGGGCCAAAGGCAGGCGCCAAACCGCUGAGCCACCCAGGGACCCCCGAGGAAUAUCUUUUAAAAUAGGUUUUCAAAGUGCAAAGUUCCUCCCAAUCCUCAGGAGGCUGAAUCCACAGCCAGCCCACUGUGCCUCCCAUUAGCAGUUGCCUCAGAUUUUAUUUGUACCCAGCACUAUUGGGAUUUCCUCUCCAGUUGGACGGGCAAAAGCUUUUCCGUUGCAUUGUCUGCAAAGUUUUGCCGAUUCCUAAUAUCUGCUCCACUAGUUCCCUCUGACAAGAGCCUUUGCUGUGAAGGGAAGCUGGAGUCACCAUCGUACCUGCACCUGUCCCCUAGGAUCCAGGCAAAUUCUGGUGACAAGUGGCCAGAACAGGGUCUUUUCCUCUCUAAGCUCACCCUCCAUUCAGCUUUUCCAAUCCCACAUCCCCCAGUUGUGAAUGAAUGAAAGAAUGAAUGAAUGAACGGGGACUUGGCAAGCUUUCUCAAUCAUUUCAUGAGUGCACAACAUAUCAUAAACAUAAAGUAAUUCCAUAUCUGAUAUCUAACUCUGACGUUGCGUUAGAUGCAUUUAAAACCUUGAGAGCUAAAUAUUUUGGGGAUAAUGAUACUUGAGGAUUUGACAAAAUUCUACAGAUUCUCUGUUUUUACAUUAGUUUAGGCAAUCCACAGAGCCCGCAAAGGCAAGUUUUUAACAGUCC